rnacentral:lncRNA from 1 species
GAGAAGCAGCACUCCCAAUGGAAUUAAUCGCUAGAUCUGAGAGAGGAGACUUGAAAUCCCAAGCUUGGGUAAGUGCUCCGAGAGAGACGCUAUGGAAGUCGCUAGAGAACGAGGCCAAAGGCCGAAGACGAUGAACAAGGACGAAUAACGAGUCUGGAGGAUCUGGUGGUUCAGGUGGGAUGAUGGAAGUGAGAGUUUCAAACGCUACCGAAAGAAGCUUAGAUGGUGGGGGAUCGGGAGGAGGUCGGCACCGCGACGGAGGAGGGGCCUUCACCAUCAACACCAUGGAGGAGGAGGACAGAUUCUUCAGAAAAAGGAGGUCUUGGCGUCAGAUCUGGAACGGCGGAGCUCCAUGCCUAGGGAGUCGGGCCUGGGAGCUUUUCUCUGCUGAAACUUUUUAAAUACUCGUGAUAGUUAACAUACGAAUUCUGAUCCAAAACGAAUAUUUUAAGUGGAGGUGUACGAGUUGCCAAAUAAAACAAAAAUGUUCUGAUGGAGAAAGAAGGCACUAUACCAUAGUUGAUCUUGAGGGGGGAAAAAAAAAAAGAAAAUGAACAAGAAAAUGCAAAUGAAAUUUUGAUAUAAUUAUUUUCGGGUCUCUUUUCCUUAGCUUUAUAUGCAAGAAUAUGGAACUCAACGGAGGAGAGUAGUCUUUGGGUAUGUUCAGUCCACAUUCUCUUUUAUUUUGGAAUUUUUCGUUACUAUAAUCAAAUCCAAUAGAAUAUGUUUCGAAUUUUUGGUUACUGUAAUAAAAACAACAAUGGAAUAUAUUCACCAGACGAUCAUGAUCGAAGCAUGGCUCUUAUAUGUUUCUCUAUGUUUCCACUAUGAGCCACUCAUAUUCUCACUUUUCCACUCUUUUCAUCCACAGGAAUCCCCCACGCUAGCUAUUAUAAGGUCAUAUUCAUAGACUCGUACGUGGGGUUCCCUGGUCCAACGAAUCUCAACAAUGCCAACUCUUGUUAUGUGAAAAUUAGCUGAUCAAUAAAGUAACUCGCGAUAAAUAUAGUUUUAUGUUUAAACGAUGGCGCCAGUUUUUUUUUCACAACGGAUGCAUCGUGUGAUUCAUAAAAAGGAAAUUUAUCCAAAAUGUUUAAUAUUAUAUAAAUCUUGUAGUGGUAGAGAAUGAAGUCGGUGAUAUCCAUAGAAUGGGCUCCAACAGAAGCAAAGCCUGACCACCCAGUAGGUGAGUUACUUUUAACUGUAUUAAUGAUAUUACUAACACGAUGGAAAGACAAUUUAUAAUCUCUUACAGUGGUUUCAAAUAAAGUUACAAAAGUUCAGAAGUCAAAAAUUAAAUAUUUUGUUAAAAAUCAGAGGAAUAUUUUUUUUGUCAACUAUUUCUUUCAUUCAAAUAACUUAAAACACAAAGUUUUCAACAAUCAUACAUUCAAGGCUAGCCUUUGCCAAAGAAACAACCUGAACAUAAUCAAUAUAAGGAAUGAAGCUAAAAGAUAGAGGAUUGAAGAGAGUAGCAAGGCUUCUACCGUCAUGGAGAACACCUGCGAUCUCUUUCAAACCAGACCCUAAACGCAGGGUAGAUAUGAAGACUUGAGAGUCUGAGAAUAUAUGAAAUCUAAGGAGGCUUAAUUCCUUAGCCUUGAGAAGAACUGAGCAAAUCAUCAAAGCUCCAACCAUGAGUGAAGAUCCCACCAACACUAGAGAAACAUCCUUUGCAUCUUGACAGUUCCAGACAAUUUCACAAAGGAAAGACAUUAAAGUCUCAAGGGUCAUCAUGGCCAAGAGGUCAGUAUCAAAGAUUGCUGAAAAAAGAGCUAGUGAGGUCAUAGUUUCUGCAUCUGAGAUUAUCUUCUUCAACACAAAGUCCCCUGUAACAACGCCACUCAAACCAACGAGAACAUCCUCAUAACGAGGUAGCAGAGUGCUAACAGGGAGUUCAUCAUCCUCAUACAGAGGUAAACUGGAUCUCAUCCAAAGAGUUAAAGAGAGAGUAACAUCCUCACACUGAGGUAAAUAGAGUUUCAACAGGCAGACAUCACAACGAACUUUCCUCAAAAACGAUUUGUUCCAAAGAGGUACAUAGACAAUACCUUCACAAGGCUUGUUGGAGAGGUACGAUGGUCUAGGAGAAGCAGCACUCCCAAUGGAAUUAAUCGCUAGAUCUGAGAGAGGAGACUUGAAAUCCCAAGCUUGGGUAAGUGCUCCGAGAGAGACGCUAUGGAAGUCGCUAGAGAACGAGGCCAAAGGCCGAAGACGAUGAACAAGGACGAAUAACGAGUCUGGAGGAUCUGGUGGUUCAGGUGGGAUGAUGGAAGUGAGAGUUUCAAACGCUACCGAAAGAAGCUUAGAUGGUGGGGGAUCGGGAGGAGGUCGGCACCGCGACGGAGGAGGGGCCUUCACCAUCAACACCAUGGAGGAGGAGGACAGAUUCUUCAGAAAAAGGAGGUCUUGGCGUCAGAUCUGGAACGGCGGAGCUCCAUGCCUAGGGAGUCGGGCCUGGGAGCUUUUCUCUGCUGAAACUUUUUAAAUACUCGUGAUAGUUAACAUACGAAUUCUGAUCCAAAACGAAUAUUUUAAGUGGAGAUGUACGAGUUGCCAAAUAAAACAAAAAUGUUCUGAUGGAGAAAGAAAGCACUAUACCAUAGUUGAUUUGGAGGGGAAAAAAAAAAGAAAAUGAACAAGAAAAUG